rnacentral:lncRNA from 1 species
UUCCUUUGUUGUUUUAACUCUAAGACUUAUGCUUCUAUGGUCUCUUAUGUCUUAAGAUUAUAAGACAUCACAACUUCCAACACUAUAGAUAUUUUGAAGUCUUGGCCAAUCACAAGAAAGUAUGCUAAUUGCCUUUAAGUCCUUGCUUCCAUGAUUUCUUACUUUCUCAAUUCUUACCCAACUAACUUUCCUUUUCUUUCAAAUUACUCCAUAGAGCAUAUAAUUAACCUAGGCUAAAACUCCUAAUCACACUUAGCAAUUGCACUAAUCACCCUUAAACCUUACUUACCUAUUCCAUACCAAUCUUUAUCACACUUAAAAUCCAACAAGUAAACACUUCCAUGUCACACCUAGAAUUAGGGUAUAAUUCCAACUUAAUCAUUCUAAUUCACCACUUAACUAGAGUUUUUCCUUGAUUAGGGUUUUCUACCCUUUUAAACCCACUUAACCCUGUAUAAUACUAUACAAAAACAUACAUACACCUAUCUAAUACACAUCCAAACAUUCAAUUGCCUUAGAAUUGACUAACCAGGGUUUCGCUUAAAAAUUUUCAAUUUUUGCACAAUUAGGGUUUCUCA